rnacentral:misc_RNA from 1 species
GAUGAAGAACGCAGCGAAAUGCGAUAAGUAAUGUGAAUUGCAGAAUUCAGUGAAUCAUCGAAUCUUUGAACGCACAUUGCGCCCCCUGGUAUUCCGGGGGGCAUGCCUGUCCGAGCGUCAUUACAACCCUCAAGCUCAGCUUGGUGUUGGGCCCCGCCGCCCCGGCGGGCCCUAAAGUCAGUGGCGGUGCCGUCCGGCUCCGAGCGUAGUAAUUCUUCUCGCUCUGGAGGUCCGGUCGUGUGCUCGCCAGCAACCCCCGAUUUUUUUCAGGUUGACCUCGGAUCAGGUAGGGAUACCCGCUGAACUUAAGCAUAUCAAUAAGCGGAGGA